rnacentral:rRNA from 1 species
UACGUAGGGGGCGAGCGUUGUCCGAAGUUACUGGGCGUAAAGCGCACGUAGGCGGUCUUUUAAGUCGGGGGUGAAAUCCUGGAGCUCAACUCCAGAACUGCCUUCGAUACUGGAAGACUUGAGUCCGGGAGAGGUGAGUGGAACUGCGAGUGUAGAGGUGAAAUUCGUAGAUAUUCGCAAGAACACCAGUGGCGAAGGCGGCUCACUGGCCCGGUACUGACGCUGAGGUGCGAAAGCGUGGGGAGCGAACAGG